UCUUACCUACGGGACGCAGCAGUGGGGAAUAUUGCACAAUGGGGGAAACCCUGAUGCAGCAACGCCGCGUGAGUGAAGAAGUAUUUCGGUAUGUAAAGCUCUAUCAGCAGGGAAGAAGAUGACGGUACCUGAUUAAGAAGCCCCGGCUAACUACGUGCCAGCAGCCGCGGUAAUACGUAGGGGGCAAGCGUUAUCCGGAUUUACUGGGUGUAAAGGGAGCGUAGGCGGUUUAGCAAGUCAGAAGUGAAAGCCCGGGGCUCAACUCCGGGACUGCUUUUGAAACUGUUGAACUAGAUUGCAGGAGG
rnacentral:rRNA from 1 species